AACGCACCUUGCACCCUUUGGCAUUCCGAAGGGUAUGCUCGUUUGAGUGUCAUUGUAAUCUCACACUUCAUGAUUUCGAUCGUGGAGAGGUGGAAGUGGAUGUUGCUGCUUCACAGCGGCUCAUCUCAAAUGCGUUAGUGCAACCUUUGGUUGGACAUAGUACAGCGUGAUAAGUAUCUUCGCUGGCUCCUCGCAAGAGGGUGUUCGAUCUUAGGCUCUUGUGCUUCGAACCGUCCCUUGGGACAACCUUUUGACAACUUGACCUCAAAUCGAGUAGGACUACCCGCUGAACUUAA
rnacentral:misc_RNA from 1 species